rnacentral:rRNA from 1 species
AGAGUUUGAUCAUGGCUCAGAUUGAACGCUGGCGGCGUGCCUAACACAUGCAAGUCGAGCGGUAACAGGCGUAGCAAUACGUGCUGACGAGCGGCGAACGGGUGAGUAAUGCUUCGGAAUCUACCCAGUAGUGGGGAAUAACCAACCGAAAGGUUGGCUAAUACCGCAUACGUCCCACGGGAGAAAGCGGGGGUCGCAAG